UACAAUUCUCUGAAGUGUAAAUUCAUAUAUUUUCUUGCCGGCAUUGGCUCUGAAGAAUUUCCUGUACUCCCUGCGUACCUUCAGUCCAAGCCAGUAAGCCCAAAUGACAGCAACUGCAUGCUUACGCCUAGCCUCCUCCUUCAAGCGCUUCAACUCCCUUCGAGCCUAGAACGUUUUAGACGGUAAAUAAAAGAGACAGCCCAAUGCAGAUAGCACAAAUGACCAGGAAAAGACACCCCACCAAACAGAAGAGCCACUUUAUGUAUCAGGAUUUCAGAAUGAAAGAGAAAUGCUGCACAAUCAUUUAAGUCCAAAGCAUCAGUGUCAGGCUGGCGUAUUUUCAGGGCACUGAGACUCUCUCUCCAAGGUGGACAAUCCAUGUGGGACCCGAGGGAAACACUCGCUGCCUGCCCCCUUCCUUCCAUGCCAUUCCUUUUCUCUGCCCUGUUCCCUCUCCCUCUUACAUCCUCACCCUCACUCUCUCCCUCCCUCCCUCAUCAAAGCCUCAGAACUGUAAGUGGCUCCUAAUAAUUUCUGUGGACUCCUCUCUGCUGCCAGUCCAUGGGGCUAAAGACACAGUGAAUUUCCGAGUCCAUUCACUUGAACAUAUAAAAAGAUAACUCUUAUGAACAACCAUUUAGAAAACUGGAAGGAAUAAAGGUUGCUUCUCUGAAGUUCCAAAAAAAAAAAAAAACACACACCAAAACACCCAAACUCUGCAAUUGGAAAAUUAGAAGUAGUAUGUAUCAAAAUUCAAUAUUAGCUAGGGCCCCAAACAGUGAUAUAUACAGAAGCAAGAUAAAAAGUGAAAACAACUCAUAGGUUUAAAAAUCAACCUAAGGGAAAAAUUAAUCUGAGGCGUGUUAUUUUAAAAGAUGAAAACAGACAGGCACUCAUGUUUCAUGACAUGAUAGUAGUGAGACCAGGUAAUGAGUUCACUCAAUGGAGAAAUCCCACUGUCCAAGAGACCCUCUGCCUCUGAUUCAGUUCCCUCAGUUUAUAAAAGGAACUAGCUGGUUCCACACAGACGUUCAGAGGCAAACACAAAUGAACAACUUUGGUGAGCUUGUGGCAAGUUAUGAUCUUUAUGCAGGCAAAUUAUGUUGACUUUUCUCAUUUUUCUCACAAUAUGGGUUUAUAACGCUGACAAGGUAGACUUAAAAACAUAGGACUAUUGUUGGUAUUUGAGUUUCUAACUGCGAUUCACAUUUUUAGCAGAGAUGACCUUUGAUUUUCUAAGUAACGAAAACAUCUAAAAUGCUCGUCCCUUGGGAAAUGUGAAAUGUUCACAGAGCCCACGACUCUGCCUGGGGAUUAGCGAGAGUAUUUCAGGAGGCCUUUGUUUCUGAACACAAACAGCUGAUGCCGAAAUUCCUGGGAUUCUUCAGG